rnacentral:rRNA from 1 species
AGAGUUUGAUCCUGGCUCAGGACGAACGCUGGCGGCGUGCCUAACACAUGCAAGUCGAACGGGAAUCGUUCAAUGAAGUCUUCGGACGGAUUUGGACGAGGAGAGUGGCGAACGGGCGAGUAACGCGUGAGCAACCUACCCUAAACUGGGGGAUAACAACGGGAAACCGUUGCUAAUACCGCAUAAUACUAUGAUAUCGCAUGAUGUCAUAGUCAAAGCUCCGGCGGUUUAGGAUGGGCUCGCGUCCAAUUAGCUAGUUGGUGAGGUAACGGCUCACCAAGGCGACGAUUGGUAGCCGAACUGAGAGGUUGGUCGGCCGCAUUGGGACUGAGACACGGCCCAGACUCCUACGGGAGGCAGC